rnacentral:rRNA from 1 species
AGUCAUAUGCUUGUCUCAAAGAUUAAGCCAUGCAUGUCUAAGUACAAGCCAAAUUAAGGUGAAACCGCGAAAGGCUCAUUAAAUCAGUUAUGGUUCCUUAGAUCGUACCGCAAUUACUUGGAUAACUGUGGUAAUUCUAGAGCUAAUACAUGCAAGCAGAACCCCGACCGGAGACGGAAGGGCGCGCUUUUAUUAGAUCAAAAUCAAUCGGCGGCGCGUUCGCGCGUGCCGUCGUACUCUAUGGUGACUCUGAAUAACUUUUGCUGAUCGCACGGUCUCGCACCGGCGACGCAUCUUUCAAAUGUCUGCCUUAUCAACUGUCGAUGGUAGGUUCUGCGCCUACCAUGGUUGUAACGGGUAACGGGGAAUCAGGGUUCGAUUCCGGAGAGGGAGCCUGAGAAACGGCUACCACAUCCAAGGAAGGCAGCAGGCGCGCAAAUUACCCACUCCCAGCUCGGGGAGGUAGUGACGAAAUCUAACGAUACGGGACUCAUCCGAGGCCCCGUAAUCGGAAUGGGUACAGUUUAAAACUUUUAACGAGGAUCUAUUGGAGGGCAAGUCUGGUGCCAGCAGCCGCGGUAAUUCCAGCUCCAAUAGCGUAU